rnacentral:rRNA from 1 species
UACGGGGGGAGCAAGCGUUGUUCGGAUUUACUGGGCGUAAAGGGCGCGUAGGCGGCGCAACAAGUCACUUGUGAAAUCUCCGGGCUUAACCCGGAGCGGUCAAGUGAUACUGUCGUGCUAGAGUGCGGAAGGGGCUACUGGAAUUCUCGGUGUAGCGGUGAAAUGCGCAGAUAUCAGGAGGAACACCAAUGGCGAAGGCAGCUCGCUGGAACGGUACUGACGCUGGAGGCGACGAAAGCCGGUGGGGAGCAAACAGG